rnacentral:hammerhead_ribozyme from 1 species
UGAUGAAUCCCAAAUAGGACGAAACGCGUGUCCUGGAU